rnacentral:lncRNA from 1 species
AAAGAAAGAGAUGAAUGGAAGACUGUUUUUUGAAUCAAGUAUGGAUAUUUCAAAUAUAAUGUCAUAUCUUUUAGACUUACAAAUGUAUUAAUUGUGUUUCAACAUUUAAUGAAUGAUGUCUUUUGUGAAUUUUUUUAAUGAUUUAAUUAACUAAUAUUUAGAUAAUAUUUUAAUCUACUUAAAAAAUAUAGAAGAACAUGAACUUUAUGUUUAUUGUUGUAUUAUAUUUAUUUUUGCUUGAGAAUGCAUCAAGCACCUUAAUGUAGAA